GUAUUGGUUUGGUAGCACAUAUACUAACAUUGGAAUGAUAGAAGUAAGAUUAACAUGGCCCUUGUGUAAGUAUGACACAUAAAUCUGUGAAGCUUCCACUCGCCCC